CCUACGGGCGGCAGCAGUAGGGAAUCUUCCACAAUGGGCGAAAGCCUGAUGGAGCAACGCCGCGUGGGUGAAGAAGGUCUUCGGAUCGUAAAACCCUGUUGUUAGAGAAGAAAGUGCGUGAGAGUAACUGUUCACGUUUCGACGGUAUCUAACCAGAAAGCCACGGCUAACUACGUGCCAGCAGCCGCGGUAAUACGUAGGUGGCAAGCGUUAUCCGGAUUUAUUGGGCGUAAAGGGAACGCAGGCGGUCUUUUAAGGCUGAGGUGAAAGCCUUCGGCUUAACCGGAGUAGUGCAUUGGAAACUGGGAGACUGGAGUGCAGAAGAGGAGAGAGGAACUCCAUGUGUAGCGGUGAAAUGCGUAGAUAUAUGGAAGAACACCAGUGGCGAAAGCGGCUCUCUGGUCUGUAACUGACGCUGAGGUUCGAAAGCGUGGGUAGCAAACAGGAUUAGAUACCCGUGUAGUC
rnacentral:rRNA from 1 species